UUUGUAGUUUUUUUUUUAUUUAUUUUUUUUAACAUUCGUACUUAAUUUUUUUUCCUUGUUGUACGUACAUUUUCAUAGUUAUUUGAAAUUAAAUUGUUUUUGUUAUCAAUUAAUGUGUAAACAUGAAAAUUCUGUAAGGAAUGAAACGAGAACAUGUGUACAAAGUAGAUUUGUAUUAAUGAAUUUGUAGGGUUACAAUCUCUGUUUACAAUUUUACUCUGAUUCAGUCUUCAAAUUUGAUGUAGAUGGUUGAUUGUUGAUCCAAGGGUCGCGAUGACUUGAUCUCGGAUGAACGGUUAAACGAUUGCUUUAAAUUUUGAGCUUGAAACAAUGUGUGGAUGGUCUUCACCUCAGGUUUAGGGAUGUGGCAAAGGUAGAUUUGAUGUAGGAAUUUGUUGAUUCAAGAGUCAUGGCGACUUGAUCUUGAAUCGAACGUCGUUACACGUUUUGAGCUUGCAACUUGAAGGCAUCGAUACAAGUGCUUGUUGAUUCUUCAAGGGAGUGCUUCAGCUUCGGUCAAAUGAAAGCUUUAGCUUUGGUUAUGCAUUCUUCGAAGAGAGCUUUGGCAGCGUAUUAGUCUUCAAAUAUUUGGCAGAGGUUCUCCUUUUGUGAGAAUUUUAGCCUUGAAUGUAGAAAUUGUCAACCCUUUGUUUGUCCUGGGACCUCAUAUUUAUAAACUUCCAAUGCCAUGCCUUUGGGUGGAUUUGGCUUUAAUUUGUGUCUUGAUUCGUCCAUGGGAGAAUUUAGGCAUGUUUUGUGUCUUGUUUUCAAUCACUUUCCCUUGCUUGGCCGAAUUAUAGGGCUUUCUUGCCUAUUUUGUGAGCAAUCUUCAAUUCUUGCUUGUUUUUGUGAAGAUGCUUUAGCUUUCUUUCCGGUUUAGGGAGCAAUUUGGGCCCUUUGCUGACUUUAGGAGAUUUCUUCCCCUUUGCCGCAUUUUAGAAAUGUUUUUGGGCUUCCUUUGCUUGAUUUGUGCCACAUGUCAUUGAUGACUUGUCCAUUUGUGAUGAGUCAUAUGCCACGUGGAGCCUUGUGAUGUAUCAUUUGCAUGCAACGAAAUUUACAUGUCUACAAAUACCCCCACUUCAUGGCGUGUUGUAGGCAUGUGCUUAUCACAUGUAGGAAACUUGUUUUGAAGUCUUGCAACAAUCUGCAUAUAAAAAUGCAAACACAAAAAAUAAAAAAAUAAAAAAAAUAAAAAAACCUAACUCUUUCCGAACGAAACAAAUUUGUCGAGCCAAAUACGUUUUUAUUGCCUCUAAUUUUUCCCUAUGAAAUAUUCGUCAAACAAUGAAUUUAAAGAAAAAAAAAGAUACAAUACAUGCUCAACCAAUGUAUUUACCAUUCAAAGUGUUUAGAUAUUUGUAAAAAUUCAAAAUUAAAACAAUAUUUGGGGGUCAAUCCCUAAACCAUUUAGGAUUUAAGGUUUAAUCUAAUUAUGAUAAUUUAAAAAGCUACAAUAAAUACAAUAUUAAAGA
rnacentral:lncRNA from 1 species